GAUGAACGCUGGCGGCGUGCCUAAUACAUGCAAGUCGAGCGAACGGACGAGAAGCUUGCUUUUCUGAUGUUAGCGGCGGACGGGUGAGUAACACGUGGAUAACCUACCUAUAAGACUGGGAUAACUUCGGGAAACCGGAGCUAAUACCGGAUAAUAUUUUGAACCACAUGGUUCAAAAGUGAAAGACGGUCUUGCUGUCACUUAUAGAUGGAUCCGCGCUGCAUUAGCUAGUUGGUAAGGUAACGGCUUACCAAGGCAACGAUGCAUAGCCGACCUGAGAGGGUGAUCGGCCACACUGGAACUGAGACACGGUCCAGACUCCUACGGGAGGCAGCAGUAGGGAAUCUUCCGCAAUGGGCGAAGGCCUGACGGAGCAACGCCGCGUGAGUGAUGAAGGUCUUCGGAUCGUAAAACUCUGUUAUUAGGGAAGAACAUAUGUGUAAGUAACUGUGCACAUCUUGACGGUACCUAAUCAGAAAGCCACGGCUAACUACGUG
rnacentral:rRNA from 1 species